AAUGAACGUUGGCGGCGUGGAUUAGGCAUGCAAGUCGAGCGAGAACCCCGCAAGGGGGGACAGCGGCGAAAGGGACAGUAAUGUGUAGAUUAUCUGCCCUCAGGCCCGGGAUAGCUGCGGGAAACUGCAGGUAAUACCGGAUAACAUCUCCGGAUCAAAGGCGUGAUUGCGCCUGAGGAUGAGUGUGCAUCCUAUUAGCUAGUUGGUGGGGUAAUGGCCUACUAAGGCGUUGAUGGGUAGCCGGUGUGAGUGGGUGAGCGGCGUCAUUGGGACUGAGACACGGGCCAGAGUCCUACAGGAGGCAGCAGUGGGGAAUAUGGUAAAAUGGGAGGAAGCCUGAUGAAGCAACGUCGGGUGGGGGAUAACGGUCUUAGGGUUGUAAACGGGGUUCGCCUGUGAGGAAGAGGGAGUGACGGUAAUGGGUAAAGAAGCACCGGCUAACUACGUG
rnacentral:rRNA from 1 species